UACGUAGGGUGCAGGCGUUAAUCGGAAUUACUGGGCGUAAAGCGUGCGCAGGCGGUUUCUUAAGUCAGAUGUGAAAGCCCCGGGCUUAACCUGGGAACUGCGUUUGAAACUGGGAGACUUGAGUGUGGCAGAGGGGGGUGGAAUUCCACGUGUAGCAGUGAAAUGCGUAGAGAUGUGGAGGAACACCGAUGGCGAAGGCAGCCCCCUGGGUCAAAACUGACGCUCAUGCACGAAAGCGUGGGGAGCAAACAGG
rnacentral:rRNA from 1 species